AUGCUCCCAAAUAUUAAAACUUUUGCGUGGAGACUGCUUAGGAGGGCUCUUCCUACAGGGUUGAGGGCUGGUAGAUUUUCCAUUCAUAUUUCAAAAACUUGUUGCCGAUGUGGUCAACAAGAGGAUGAGGUCCAUCUGUUUUUCAUGUGCUCUUUUUCUCGUGCAGCUUGGUUUUCCUCUCCUUGGUUUGUUCGUUCGGAUGCUUUAGUCCAGGGGCAUUCCACCUUGCAUUCUGUUAUUGAUGUUCUUCGCAUGAGGCAUCUAUAUGGUUCUCUUUCUAACAUUUGUACACUUCUUUGGUGUCUCUGGAAAGCAAGGAAUGAUUUUCUAUUUCAUAGGGCGAAAUCUCUUCCUCAUCAAGUUCACAUUGCUGCUCUUGCAUUAACCUCUAAUGUGUAUGACAAUGCCCCUCUCUUGAAUCAGACUCCAACUCCAACUCAGUUGUCUUCUAAUCAAAUUCCUUUGCCUGGCAGAACCCUUAGGUCUGAUUUGUUGGCUGAUGGGGCUAAAAUCUAUUCAGAUGCAGCUUUUAGGACUAAGAAAAUUCCAGGUUUGUUGCAAGGACAGGUUGGCACAGGUGUGGGAAUCUUUAUUUCCUUACCCUCUAACGGAGGAGAGAUCAAUGUGCAAGUGCAAGCUUCAGCUCCUCCAACUUCUACUCCUCUGCAAGCGGAGGCUCUUGCACUAAAUUUUGCUGCUUAUCUUGCAUCUCAACUCAACAUUGCUCAACCUACUUUUCUGACGGACUGCUUGGUUUUAGCAGGGGCUGCUGCUCUAGGUAAUGUCUCCACUUCUGAAACUCCAUGGAGUAUCAGGAAAUCUUUGGCUAGUUUUUUUAAGACUACUUAUCAGCUUCAGCCAAAGGUGUUUCACAUUUCUAGGGAGAUCAAUGGGUUUUCAUCUUGGUUGCAGAUGUAUUUUGCUGUUUCUACAGGACCUUGA
rnacentral:rRNA from 1 species